UACGUAGGGUGCAAGCGUUGUCCGGAAUUAUUGGGCGUAAAGAGCUCGUAGGCGGCUUGUCGCGUCGGCUGUGAAAACCUGGGGCUCAACCCCCGGGCCCUGCAGCCGAUACGGGCAAGCGUAGAAUUCGGUAGGGGAGACUGGAAUUCCUGGUGUAGCGGUGGAAUGCGCAGAUAUCAGGAGGAACACCGGUGGCGAAGGCGGGUCUCUGGGCAGUAACUGACGCUGAGGAGCGAAAGCGUGGGGAGCGAACAGG
rnacentral:rRNA from 1 species